rnacentral:tRNA from 1 species
GGGCCAUUAGCUCAGGUUGGUUAGAGCGCACCCCUGAUAAGGGUGAGGUCUGUGGUUCGACUCCACAAUGGCCCACCA